UACGAAGGGGGCGAGCGUUGUUCGGAUUUACUGGGCGUAAAGGGCGCGCAGGCGGCGGACCAAGUCAGGCGUGAAAGCCCCGGGCUUAACCUGGGAACUGCGUCUGGGACUGGUAUGCUAGAGUUCGGGAGAGGAGAGUGGAAUUCCCAGUGUAGAGGUGAAAUGCGUAGAUAUCGGGAGGAACACCAGUGGCGAAGGCGACUAUCUGGCCUGUUCUUGACGCUGAGGCGCGAAAGCUAGGGGAGCAAACGGG
rnacentral:rRNA from 1 species